GACGAACGCUGGCGGCGUGCUUAACACAUGCAAGUCGAGCGGUAAGGCCCUUUCGGGGUACGACGAGCGGCGAACGGGUGAGUAACACGUGGGUGACCUGCCUUUAGUCUCUGGGAUAAAGCCUGGGAAACGUGGGUCUAAUACCGGAUAUGACCCUAUGGCGCAUGUUGUGGGGUGGAAAGCCUUGUGCGGCUAGGGAUGGGCCCGCGGCCUAUCAGCUUGUUGGGUGGGGGUGAUGGCCUACCAAGGCGACGACGGGUAGCCGGCCUGAGAGGG
rnacentral:rRNA from 1 species